UCUAAUAUGGCAGAAUAGUGCAAUGGAGUUAAGAUCCAUAUAUAAGGGUAACCUUUUUUAGAA
rnacentral:tRNA from 1 species